rnacentral:rRNA from 1 species
UAGGGAAUCUUCCACAAUGGACGAAAGUCUGAUGGAGCAACGCCGCGUGAGUGAAGAAGGGUUUCGGCUCGUAAAACUCUGUUGUUAAAGAAGAACAUAUCUGAGAGUAACUGCUCAGGUAUUGACGGUAUUUAACCAGAAAGCCACGGCUAACUACGUGCAG